UGGGGAAUAUUGCACAAUGGAGGAAACUCUGAUGCAGCGACGCCGCGUGAGUGAAGAAGUAUUUCGGUAUGUAAAGCUCUAUCAGCAGGGAAGACAGUGACGGUACCUGACUAAGAAGCUCCGGCUAAAUACGUGCCAGCAGCCGCGGUAAUACGUAUGGAGCAAGCGUUAUCCGGAUUUACUGGGUGUAAAGGGAGUGUAGGUGGUAUCACAAGUCAGAAGUGAAAGCCCGGGGCUCAACCCCGGGACUGCUUUUGAAACUGUGGAACUGGAGUGCAGGAGAGGUAAGUGGAAUUCCUAGUGUAGCGGUGAAAUGCGUAGAUAUUAGGAGGAACACCAGUGGCGAAGGCGGCUUACUGGACUGUAACUGACACUGAGGCUCGAAAGCGUGGGGAGCAAACA
rnacentral:rRNA from 1 species